rnacentral:rRNA from 1 species
CCUACGGGGGGCAGCAGUAGGGAAUCUUUCACAAUGGGCGAACGCCUGAUGGAGCAACGCCGCGUGCAGGAUGACGGCCUUCGGGUUUUAAACUGCUUUUAUAAGCGGGAAAAAUGAUGGUAACUUAUGAAUAAGGAUCGGCUAACUACGUGCCAGCAGCCGCGGUCUUACGUAGGACCCGAGCAUUAUCCGGAGUGACUGGGUGGAUAGAGUUGCGUAGGUGGCAUAAUAAGUAGCUAGUGAAAUCUGGUGGCUCAACAAUUCAGACUAUUAGCUAAACUGUUAAGCUCGAGACCGUUAGGAGUAACUGGAAUGUGUGGUGUAGGAGUGAAAUGCGUAGAUAUUA